GGCCCGCGGGCUCAGCUAGGUGGGGUGGAGGCGGGAGCAAGGGCGGGCCCCUGUCCAGGGGCGGGAAGCUGCAGGGGAGACAGGACAUUGGUCCCGGCGGACAGCACGGCUGCCUCGGGAAUGCGUCCGCAGGCGGAAUGUGCACACGGUGGGACUUGGGGCAGACCAGACAAAAGGCGAGAGGCAGACCAUGAGUGAGACAGCCCUUCACAUUGACCAGAACACAGACAUGCAGCCAGUGCUACGGCUACAUCUGUAACAGGCCUGCCUCCGAGAGGCCUCAAGAAAUGGGUAUUACCAGCAAGACGCAUUCUUCACAAAACGUGAAAUGGCUUCUGUGUGGGUCAUGAAGAAAUUCUCAAGCAGCUCAAGUUCAGACUCGAAGUGUAGUGCCAUCUGAGCUUGGUUCUUGUGACAAAGCAGGGGUCUGCAGGAGCUCUGUCAAAAGUUCUCACCUCCAUCUGCCUUCCAGUGCCAGUUUUAAAUCCUGCCAGCUCUGUGCCACUGCAAUGCCCACAGCAAGGGCAGGUAUUGGAAGGAGCAGCACAGCCUGUCACUGGCCAGCAUCCUUGUCACCUUCAACUCACAGUUCCUGGAGAUCAACAGAGACCUGCAGCAUGAGAGCAGAACAGGAGCACCCGAAGGUGUCUGCCAUCAUACUGUUGGCACCCUUAAGGAGAUCACACUGCAGGAGAACCCUUCCUCGUAAGCACUGACUGCACUGCUCCCCCUGCAGUCCCUGACCAGUGGCUGGGUGCCCAGGAUGUUCACAUCCACACUCUUGACCAUUGUGUCCUUUCUCAGGGCCUUACAGGAUGCUGGAAGCCCCAACUUUCUCAAGUUGGCAGUACCUGUGCUCGUGUACAGGGUCUCAUCUCAUCCUCAUUCUUGGUCUGUAUACUCCUGUGGACACUGUAGUCUGCUAGAAACCAGGACCCAGCCCUAACCCUUCCUCACUUGCGCAAGAUCAUGCGACACCUCCAGCAGACACUGUUGCUCCAUGACUUCUUCCAGAACCUGCAUGAGGAGCUCACCUGCUUCUUCCAGUCAGUCCUCCUCUCCCUGCACUGCUUCAGCUUCACAAAUGGAUGCAUGAACUCUGCGGCAAGGUAUCCUUCCACCUGUACAAGUGCAGAGACUUUCUAGCACUGGGUACAGUUUGCUGGCACCGUGAACGGCCUGGCCUGCUGCACCACCUGCUGGUUCCCGCCCGUACACUUCCAGAACUACCUGAAGAUGUUUCGGACAGGCAGCAUUCUCAUGGGGAAUGACCUCCACCGCACUGACCAGUGGGUGGUCGGUGUAAGUGAGAAGCCACUCAUAGCAGCGCUCCAGUUUCUGACCAUGUGUGUGUCUGUCCUGUCUUCCCAUAGAGAAGGGUGAACCCCUCCGACCCUCCUGCCAAGCCCAACUCGGCUCCUUGUCCCAUAGGCCCAAGUGAAGCACUGUGUCAUCAUGAAGCAGGCCCUACAGGUGCCCUACAGAAACCUGUCCCUGUACGGAGAUAUGGUGCUGCAUGCAGCUGAUGGCAUCCUACAGGAGCCCAAAGUGCACACGCGGCCAUUACUGCCCUCAGAGCUCUUCUACAGCAUGGUGAGUCUAUGCAGGGUAUCUCUCCUGCCUCCUCCUGCUCCACCACCCAGUCUCCCUGUGGCACAGUUUGCUUUCACUCCCCCCUUUUUCACAGACAUGGCUCACGACUCAGGGGUGCUCAGGCUUGAUGUCCCAAGAAAGUGGCUAGGCUGCUGCCCUGACUACAUGUCCUCACACCAACUGGGCCUCGAGGCCUGUCUGCCACCCUCUGCUUGCUGCUCAUGGCGCUUCUUGGCUGAUGGUGCUGCUGGACAUCGUCCUGGCCUCUGGAGUAAGGCUGGUGGCCGGGUGUGAGGGGAGGCUUCCAACAGAGCCUUCCUUGAAGGGCUUCCCCUUCAUUUGCUCUUGUAGGAAAACUAGGCACUAAAGCUGUUUCUAGAAGACCUCAUGCAUGAAAUCACUGUCCUACCCAGCGUAGUGAGGGUGAUUGCAUGGGACCUGAAUUGCCAGAAGCGAGCCCUGCUGAAGGCAUCCGUGCACAGUCGCAGCACAGGGCCUGCCCCCAGGCCUAGCCCCCACACUGCGGGGCUCAGCAGGUGGAUCUAUGCCUGUUUCCUUUUGUAAAGGGUGAGAUGCCCCCAGAAUGGCAAACAGCUGGCCGUGCUUGCACCGGCCACCUUGCUCUACCUCACAGAGAACUGUGCGUGUGGGCUCAGCCACAAAGCAGCCAGCUGCAGCCUUCUGCACACCCCAGGUCCGCUCGUGCCUGCACCCACACUGUGUGGUGCCGCCACCCCACGCCUGGGUGGGGUUCUCAGAAAUCACUCAUAGAGCUGGGGGUGCCGCUGCACAUUAAGAGUAAAUAGUGGCCACUCAGAGCAGGCCCAGAGUUCUGGCAAAGCUCUGCUUUUGCACCUGCCAGCCAGAUGCCCAGGGCCGUGGCCCCAGGCUAGGCAAGGACACACUGGUGGUCUGAUGUAUGGCUACCCUGGUAGCCCACCACAUGGCACGUGUGCCUUUGGGGGUGCAGAUGGGUAGACACCAGGACCCGCAAGUGGAUACUAUGGGGCCUGCAGGCACAGCAAGACCAAAGGCAGCAGCGUGCUAGAAUUCUGUGCCUAUGUAGAUGGUAGACUCGGUCCCAACUAUGCUGCUGGUGCUGCUGGGUGAGGUGCUGGGCCUGUUCCUGAGCUUCCAAAGUAGAAAUGUCGACCAUUGGUGUCUUCCUGUCCCACGUGGUGGCAGAAAACCUGAGCCGGUAAUUGGCACCCACUCUGGGGUCCUGUCUCCUGGCAGGGAUGAACCACUUGUGGUGGCAGUCUCAAUACAGCAGGAUUCACCCCGAGAACUAGUUAGUUAUAAGAUGGGACAGGUGGCCAGUCACACCCCAAGGCCCAACCCCAGGUUGGGCCUUGACUGCGAAGGAUCCUCCCACCUUUAGACAGAGCUGCCAGCCCUGGAGCACAGGGCUCGGCUGGCACCCAGAUGCCCUGUCUUUGCUCCUUACAUGUCCCUGAGCAAAGUCACUCGACCUUUGUCCUUUCAAACUAAGUGUCCACCUGUAUGGGAGCGGCAGCAGGUCUUGCAGCCAGAGGGUCCUGUUGGAGUUGGUGGGAUAUUUGGAGCAGUUAGCAGCCUGGGUCUGUAAAAGCUGCCCGCCCAGAGCAAGCCAGUAACACAGUGUGAACUGCACCUGUAACCCACAGCGUGUCACCAGCUUCCUGCUUUCUCCACAGACCUUCAAAAGGCCAUAAGUCAAGACCACAGAUCACCUGCAGCUGAGCAGAUUUGUGUAGAUUUUAGAGAAUUUGUGACUUUCUUUAGUCAGUGCUCUCAGGGAAGUUGGUUUACUACAUCCGACACUAGAAGUGCUGUGACCCCAGCCACAUUUGGAAUUCCCACAGAGCCAACCCACCAGAGGAGCUGUGGCUGCACCCUUCUGCCUGACUGCAGAACAGUUAGGAUAAACCACUCUAACCAAAAUCUCUUUCUUGAGACUUUGUAACUCAAAAGGACGUGCUGACCAGAGCCGCCCACCCUACACCCUUCCGUGAUGUCCCUGGAAUCAUUUGUGUUUUUUACAUAUCUGAGUCUAAAAGUUUAUUUUUGAAAAUCAUUUACAAGCUUUAAACGAUUAUAUAAAAACUG